AUGACGUCAGUGAGGCAAGAGCAUCUCCAAGUCGUGGCGGGACCCCCUCCUGGGAGGGGGGGGAUGCUGGGGCGGCAGCUCCAGGUCAAGGCCAUGGCACUUCCAAGGAGGAGAGUAAAUCAGCAUCUAUUCAUUCCUUCUCUUUUGAACUCCUUCGGGCCUACGAUUGAGACGCUGUUGCUGAACAGCGGAGCUCUCCAAGCAGGAAGAGGCAUCGUCAGCGUGGUCUUCAUCAUCAUCGUCCUCAUCGCUAGCGCCAGCAGACUGAGGAGACCCACCAGACCACUGAGUGCUCCUGGGCAUCACUUACCACGACAAACAUUGCACGCGGCUAAGGAACACGUUCUUUACCCCCAUUUAAUAGAUUAGGAAACCGAAGCUUAGAAUCCCAUG
rnacentral:lncRNA from 1 species